rnacentral:rRNA from 1 species
UGGGGAAUUUUGGACAAUGGGAGAAACCCUGAUCCAGCCAUCCCGCGUGUGCGAUGAAGGCCUUCGGGUUGUAAAGCACUUUUGGCAGGAAAGAAACGUCAUGGGUUAAUACCCCGUGAAACUGACGGUACCUGCAGAAUAAGCACCGGCUAACUACGUGCCAGCAGCCGCGGUAAUACGUAGGGUGCAAGCGUUAAUCGGAAUUACUGGGCGUAAAGCGUGCGCAGGCGGUUCGGAAAGAAAGAUGUGAAAUCCCAGAGCUCAACUUUGGAACUGCAUUUUUAACUACCGGGCUAGAGUGUGUCAGAGGGAGGUGGAAUUCCGCGUGUAGCAGUGAAAUGCGUAGAUAUGCGGAGGAACACCGAUGGCGAAGGCAGCCUCCUGGGAUAACACUGACGCUCAUGCACGAAAGCGUGGGGAGCAAACAGG